rnacentral:ncRNA from 1 species
UCAAACACUGAGAACAGACGAAGUACGACUUCUUUUCUUACAGAGAGAUUGCGUUAGCUGAAAGCAAUUAGAGAAGAUAAGGAAAUGCACCUGGGAGUGGUUUUGGCGCAAGUCAAAAACGGCGAUAGACCGUUAACUAUUUGAGGCAGAGUUACUCUGUAAAAAAAAGUGGAACCACGCGAUAGUUGCGUCUUUUGC